AACAGCAUCACAAUACAGUAUAUUUUGUGAUUCUCUCAAUGUUGAGUUUUUAUUAAUGAUACAUAUCAAAUAAAAAUUUAAAGAAUAUGAUACAUAUCAAAUCAAACUUAUCAAAAAACUAUUCGAAUGUGUUGUAAAAAACGAAUGCAAAAAAUAUUUAUGGUUUAUGAAACAAUUGGUUUUUAUUUCAUUUGAAAAUGAUAUCUCAACAAACGUACACAUGCAUGUAAAAUGUAUAUACAUUGCAAAAGUCAACUUCAUAGUGCUUUCGCGCCAAAGCCCAAAUACAUGUAUAUACAUUUUUGUAAGUUUAAAAAUAAGUGUUAUAGAUCUGUAGCAAACAGUCUUAAGCAUGUCAGCUUCCGAGAACUGUUUUACAAUCUAAUUACCGAGGCUUCAAAUUACACGUAUAGACUACAUAUAUAUCUACAAUCCGUAUUAUCGAAGUUUAAAAAUAGAAAUAGAGAUCGGCACACCAGACAGUUAAGGCUUCGACUUACAUUGAUCGGCCUUCUAUCCGGACCAUUGCCAUUUCAUUGUAAAUAUAAAAUUCAGACUGUUCCGGACUACAGAGGUUUUACUGUAUUAAUACAACAAUCCGGACUACAUGAGGUUUUACUGUAUUAAUACAAUCCGGACUACAGAGGUUUUACUGUUUUAAUAAAACAAUCCGGACUACAGAGGUUGUACUGUAUUAAUACAACAAUCCGGACUACAGAGGUUUUACUGUAUUAAUACAACAAUCCGGACUACAGAGGGUUUACUGUAUAGAUCUAAAAUCUGGAUAAUAGAGGUAAUACUGUAGUUUACAAUCCAAAUAAGUGCAUAGAGACGUUUUACCGAAUAAAUGAAAAUUCCGGAAAACGAUGGUUAAUUGUAAGUAUUUUAAAAAUCUGAAUAUCUAGUUUUUUCUGUAUAAACCUUAUUCCGAAACAUUGCGUUUUUACUGCACAAAUCUUAAUCUUAGAAACUGCAGGUUACACUGUAUAUAUACACAGUCCUGACAAUAUCGUGGACUUAGUGUAUUAUUCUACAAUCCGGACUACCGAGAGUGGUACAGUAAGCUCUGGCACGAUAAAGGCCCUCACUGGAAUAUCCUCAUUGAGACGUUAAGCAACGCAUUCGAUCAUUCAGUGAAGAGCUACCAUGCAAUGUAAAUUUCAUGGUCGAUUCAGUAACAGCUCUGUCAUUUGCAAGGCAUCAAAUUGUGCUACAUGUAUAUUCAGCUACAUGUGUUCGAUUUUCUUCGUGCAUGAGUCCUAAUCGGGCGCGUUUUUACCGUUAUGGCUGAGACGUCCAUGUUUAUAAAGUGCUCUAAAUUAGCAGGACUUAAUUUCCAUAACUUAUCGUCAUUAGUAUUCAUAUAUGCAGUACCAUUGAUUACAAGCAUAGUCCUGUCUUUUGGGGGGCUGCGAUGAGCAAUCGUUACGGCAUUUAAACUCUGACAUAUUUACGGAUUACGUUGAAAAUGGCCCCUAAUUGUCCGGAAAUUUCCCUCUUUUCCGACAGAUAAGAAAUAUCCAACAUCCAUAUGGAUCGCAAAUCACCCAAUAUCUGUACCGAGUCUGUGGAUGGUGCAUAUUGUUGACGCCAUUAUCGUAUCAUCUCGCACACACCCCGGCAUCAGAGACGCGGGGAACUCAAACGCACGUGCUGAAUUUGUAUACCCGUACCGUGCCGCAACACCGGAAUCUG